GACGAACGCUGGCGGCGUGCUUAACACAUGCAAGUCGAACGAUGAAGCUGGAGCUUGCUCCGGUGGAUUAGUGGCGAACGGGUGAGUAACACGUGAGCAAUCUGCCCUUGACUCUGGGAUAACUGCGGGAAACUGUAGCUAAUACCGGAUACGACGUACGGAGGCAUCUCCUGUACGUGGAAAGAAUUUCGGUCAAGGAUGGACUCGCGGCCUAUCAGCUAGUUGGUGAGGUAAAGGCUCACCAAGGCGACGACGGGUAGCCGGCCUGAGAGGGUGACCGGCCACACUGGGACUGAGACACGGCCCAGACUCCUACGGGAGGCAGCAGUGGGGAAUAUUGCACAAUGGGCGCAAGCCUGAUGCAGCAACGCCGCGUGAGGGAUGACGGCCUUCGGGUUGUAAACCUCUUUUAGCAGGGAAGAAGCGAAAGUGACGGUACCUGCAGAAAAAGCACCGGCUAACUACGUGCCGGCCGCCGCCGUAA
rnacentral:rRNA from 1 species